rnacentral:rRNA from 1 species
CCCUUAGAUGUCCUGGGCCGCACGCGCGCUACACUGACAUGUUCAACAAGUUUCUCCUAGUUCGACAGGACUGGGAAAUCUUUGAACGCAUGUCGUGAUAGGGAUAGAUCAUUGCAAUUAUUGAUCUUGAACGAGGAAUUCCUAGUAAACGCGAGUCAUCAGCUCGCAUUGAUUACGUCCCUGCCCUUUGUACACACCGCCCGUCGCACCUACCGAUUGAAUGUUUCGGUGAAGAUUCCGGAUAGGACUGAUUUGAUUUAUUUCAUUUCUGACCUAAAAGCCAUCUAAACCUCAACAUUUAGAGGAAGGUGAGGUCGUAACA